rnacentral:rRNA from 1 species
AUUGAACGCUGGCGGCAGGCCUAACACAUGCAAGUCGAACGAGUGGCGGACGUGUGAGUUAUGUCUGGGAAACUGCCCGAUGGAGGGGGAUCACUACUGGAAACGGUAGCUAAUACCGCAUACCCUCGGAUGUGCCCAGAUGGUUUUAGCUUGUAGGUGGGGUAACGGCGCACCUAGGCGAAGACCCCUAGCUGGUCUGAGAGGAUGACCAGCCACACUGGAACGGAGACACGGUCCAGACUCCUACGGGAGGCAGCAGUGGGGAAUAUUGCACAAUGGGCGCAAGCCUGAUGCAGCCAUGCCGCGUGUGUGAAGAAGGCCUUCGGGUUGUAAAGUACUUUCAGCGGGGAGGCGUUACUCGCAGAAGAAGCACCGGCUAACUCCGUGCCAGCAGCCGCGGUAAUAC